CGCGGGGCGAUCGAGAUUGUCGAGCUCGAUGCACGAACUGCAACUUACAGCCGACCGGAACCAACGCAGCUUGGUUUCUUCGUAUUAUAUUUUAUAGUUACACAAUACAAAAUCUGUCGAAGUUCGAAAAAAAUCAUGAGAGAGAGAGAGAGAGCGAGAGAGAGAGAGAGAGAGAGAGAGA